rnacentral:tRNA from 1 species
GCGGUUAUAGCUCAGGUGGUUAGAGCACUAGCUUGUGGCGCUAGGGGUCGCCGGUUCGAGUCCGGUUAGUCGCCCUCCA